UGACACAACAGUCUCUUAUCAACCAUGUGACAUCAUAUGUGUGAUAUUUUAGACCAUUCUGGCUGAGUGUCUUAAUUCAGUCAGAAGCUUUUGAAGUUAUUUUACUAAAUCUUCUUAAAAGAUAGUAAAAGAAAAAGGUAAAAGAUUAAGGAGGAUGGUAAGAAAGAGAGAGAUUUUAUAGGAUUCUGUUUGCAUGUUUACUUUCUUAAGUUUUUGAUAUUUUAAUGAGACUGCUUUUUUAUUCAUAUAAUGCGUUAGAAUGUUUUUAUUUUGAAAGUUCUUGGUUUUAUCUAUGCACACACACUCAUACACAUAAGGUUAAGGGAAUGACCUCUUUAGGGCGUAUCUAAUGUAGGCGUAAAAAGGAACUGGACAUGGUUGUUUGAGGUCAUUUCUGUGUUGACCCUUAAGGACUCAUGCAUAGCUGUGGUCCAAUGCUGUAACGGCAGACUAUUUCUCUGUUGUCUCUAUAUAUUUUUAUUACAUAUUUUUGCUUUAAUAAAUUGGAUGGUUGAUUUUAACUCUGCUUUCUGAUUUCUUGAGAUGAUCCCUCCCGAAAAAGAGUCUGAGUGCAACAUCGACUUAUAUAACACAAAUAAUGUAACCGGAAAGUAAGUUUUGUGUUGCAUUGAUUUCUUCUGCAAAAGCCCUUCACAUUACUUGUAAUUCCAUGAUUCUUUUCUUGUCACACAAUGUUCUGGAUGAUUUUGUGGAUUAACAUGAUGAAAUCAGCAGUUCCUAUGACCCUAUUAAUACUCUGCUCCUGCAGAGCCCCUACAGUCCCUGACAAAAUCUUUUGACUCACUAGUCUUGGGGAAAGGACAACGGGUUAAACUUGAGAAA